rnacentral:misc_RNA from 1 species
GGCAAAUAUCGUCUUUCCCAUCAAUUCAGUCUCAUUAUCCUACUCCUAACACAGGGCUGAUAACUCUUCAUGUCUCCUCUGUGCCCAGUACUUGGCUCUUUCAUCUGUCAGCUUACGUUUUAUAUUUCUGAACUGAAAUCCUUUAAGACCAGAUAAUUAUUUUAAGUGGUUCCUAUUUUGUAUGCCAUUCAUUAUUUUGUCACUCUCUCUCUCUCUCUCUCUC